CCUACGGGGUGCAGCAGUGAGGAAUAUUGGUCAAUGGACGAGAGUCUGAACCAGCCAAGUAGCGUGAAGGAUGACUGCCCUAUGGGUUGUAAACUUCUUUUAUAUGGGAAUAAAAUGUUCCACGUGUGGGAUUUUGUAUGUACCAUAUGAAUAAGGAUCGGCUAACUCCGUGCCAGCAGCCGCGGUAAUACGGAGGAUCCGAGCGUUAUCCGGAUUUAUUGGGUUUAAAGGGAGCGUAGGUGGAUUGUUAAGUCAGUUGUGAAAGUUUGCGGCUCAACCGUAAAAUUGCAGUUGAAACUGGCAGUCUUGAGUACAGUAGAGGUGGGCGGAAUUCGUGGUGUAGCGGUGAAAUGCUUAGAUAUCACGAAGAACGCCGAUUGCGAAGGCAGUUCACUGGACUGCAACUGACACUGAGGCUCGAAAGUGUGGGUAUCAAACAGGAUUAGAUACCCUGGUAGUC
rnacentral:rRNA from 1 species